rnacentral:lncRNA from 1 species
CACAAACUCACUGUGAUUGACAGCAUGAAGUGUGUUACCACAGCAACAGAGUUUGUGAUGACCAAUGAAAGACAGCGUGUAAUACUGAGCUGCAACACACACACUCACACACACACACACACACACACACACUCUGUCUCUCUCACGUACACACACACACACUCUGUCUCUCUCACAUUCACACACACUUUUAGAUUCUCAAAUCACUUCAUUCUAUGUGAUUUAUAAUCUUGUUUCCUCAAGGGCACCUAAAACAUAUCCCCACAAGGAGACUGGUAUCUGCUGGUAUCAUUAUCAGUGUGUGAUGAGUCUUACAGCAGAGCUCCGCUGCGACUGACGAUCACUCUGUGUGUACGGUGUUCACACUCAUCACAUCUGCUCAUAAACACAGGUCAGUCCUCUGCUUCGCAUGCUUGGGUUUGGCUGUUGGACUUUAAGAUGCCAUUGAAAGAUCUUGUGUUUUGAGUUUGCUUGAAGUGUGUUUUGUACUCAGACAGCCGCACAGUGAGACUGAUGAGGUGAUGCAGCACAGCUCCUCCUGUCUCCAGCUUCUCAGGGGCUCGUAUGGAGGACCACAGGGACGGGAGGUUUCUUUAAGCUGCUGGUUGCUAGGUGGCAGGCUGAAGAAGGACCUGAGUUAUAUCUUGAGUGAGCACCUCAGAAGAACAAGCUGCAGUGCUACAGCGAGUCCAGCAGAAACACUAAACACACACCAGAAACAACAACAACAAAAGGACAUUUUGUUAAUGAUUGACAUACAGUAGUCCACUAGGGAGCCUCAGCAAACCUCUAUGGGGACCUAAGAGUCUUAAAAUGAUUUUCAUUGAUCUAAUCACUAUCCUUAGAAACUGUAGCAGAUCUUGGCUAAAUACAAUACAAUACAAAUGACAUGUGUUGUUUGUGUAAGCAGCUGGUUAGUCAUCUCUUUAGGAUUUAGUUGUAUUCUGUUGGGCAUUUGAUGCCUGUAAACAACAGUGUACAGUAUAGCACAGAAAUGAAUGGAAAGAAAGAAUAAAAGAGCGUGUGAAAGCUGACUGUUGUUCCAGAAGGACUGCUUGAGAUCAGGAGCAGGACGUGCACAGAUUAAAAAGCUUGUCCUGUUUGAUUGCACGUUCUGCUGUGUGUCUGCUGCCAUGUGACGCUAAAUCCGGUAAACUGCUUCAAUCCUCCGGGUUUGAGGAUUAUAAUGAUUCUCUGAAUGUGAUGUAUUGGAAAGGGACUCGACGGUGUUCACAUGAAGAGACACAGAGUCUCAUCAGUUUCCUCACGCUUGUCGUGACACAGCAGCCACGGUAGUACUGUAUAACUGACACUGUUUUAUUUAUUUCUUUAUAAUAAAUAUUCCCAAACCUGUUAACUAUAUCAUGAAAUGUAUCGAUUCUCAGAUAUGUAAAAGUGUAUGCAUUUUGCACCUUUAUGGAUUAUUGAUCUAUAAUGGAUGAUAGGCAAAGUACCCUAAUACUGUAAUCUAUUAACUAGCAAUAAAAACGUUUUACUUGCG